rfam:Triticum aestivum genome assembly, contig: Triticum_aestivum_CS42_TGACv1_scaffold_591896_7BS
GUAGUACUCCCUCCGUCCCCAAAUUCUUGUCUUACAUUUGUUUAGAUACGGAUGUAUCUAACACUAAAAUGUAACUAGAUACAUCCGUAUUUAGAAAAAUUUAAGGCAAGAAUUUUGGGACGGUGGGAGUACAAA